CAGGAACUCGGAGCGCUCCCUAACCUCGCGGGGCAGCGGGGACCCAGCGCCCUGGCCUCCUCGGGCGCCCCGGCAGGGCGCGCGCCAGGUCCCAGGCCGGCGCGGGGCCCCAGGACCCUUAUCUUCUUCGUCUUGGGUAUCCUGCUGCCGUAAAUUGCAGAAUCGAUGGCGCAAAACGGGUUGGAAACUCCGUAGCAAGCAUUCAAAGUGCCUGAUCCCUUUUUUGGGAAGGCGAGGAGUGGGAGGUAUAUUUAAUUUUAAAACAUUCUCAUUGCAAAUCUGUUAAAUGUGCAGCCCUGGGGUGGCCCCG
rnacentral:lncRNA from 1 species